rnacentral:rRNA from 1 species
AGGAUCAUUCGCAAUGGGCGAAAGCCUGACGAUGCGACGCUGCGUGGAGGAUGAAGGCCUUCGGGUUGUAAACUCCUGUCAUGAGGGAAAAGGAGACCUUACCUAACACGUAGGGGAUUUGAUGGUACCUCAAGAGGAAGGGACGGCUAACUCUGUGCCAGCAGCCGCGGUAAUACAGAGGUCCCGAGCGUUGUUCGGAUUUACUGGGCGUAAAGGGCGCGUAGGCGGCGCUGCGUGUCGGAUGUGAAAGCUCCGGGCUCAACCCGGAAAGUGCGUCCGAAACUGUAGCGCUGGAGUCCGGGAGAGGUGGCCGGAAUGCAGGGUGUAGCGGUGAAAUGCGUUGAUAUCCUGCAGAACACCGGAGGCGAAGGCGGGCCACUGGAACGGUACUGACGCUGAGGCGCGAAAGUCGGGGGAGCAAACA